CGGCGGACGGGUGAGUAAUGCCUAGGAAUCUGCCUGGUAGUGGGGGAUAACGUUUCGAAAGGAGCGCUAAUACCGCAUACGUCCUACGGGAGAAAGCAGGGGACCUUCGGGCCUUGCGCUAUCAGAUGAGCCUAGGUCGGAUUAGCUAGUUGGUGAGGUAAUGGCUCACCAAGGCUACGAUCCGUAACUGGUCUGAGAGGAUGAUCAGUCACACUGGAACUGAGACACGGUCCAGACUCCUACGGGAGGCAGCAGUGGGGAAUAUUGGACAAUGGGCGAAAGCCUGAUCCAGCCAUGCCGCGUGUGUGAAGAAGGUCUUCGGAUUGUAAAGCACUUUAAGUUGGGAGGAAGGGCAGUAAGCUAAUAUCUUGCUGUUUUGACGUUACCGACAGAAUAAGCACCGGCUAACUCUGUGCCAGCAGCCGCGGUAAUACAGAGGGUGCAAGCGUUAAUCGGAAUUACUGGGCGUAAAGCGCGCGUAGGUGGUUUGUUAAGUUGGAUGUGAAAGCCCCGGGCUCAACCUGGGAACUGCAUCCAAAACUGGCAAGCUAGAGUAUGG
rnacentral:rRNA from 1 species